UACGGAGGGGGCAAGCGUUAUUCGGAAUUAUUGGGCGUAAAGGGCGCGUAGGCGGCUAGAUGUGUCAAAGGUGAAAUCCCUCGGCUCAACUGAGGAACUGCCUUUGAAACUGUCUGGCUUGAGGCCGGGAGAGGGUAGCGGAAUUCCCAGUGUAGCGGUGAAAUGCGUAGAUAUUGGGAAGAACACCGGUGGCGAAAGCGCUCUGCUGGACCUGCACUGACACUGAGGGACGAAAGCUAGGGGAGCGAAAGGG
rnacentral:rRNA from 1 species